rnacentral:rRNA from 2 species
UACGUAGGGUGCAAGCGUUGUCCGGAAUUAUUGGGCGUAAAGAGCUCGUAGGUGGCGGGUCACGUCGGGUGUGAAAGCCCGGGGCUUAACCCCGGGUCUGCAUUCGAUACGGGCUUGCUAGGGUCCGGCAGGGGAGACUGGAAUUCCUGGUGUAGCGGUGAAAUGCGCAGAUAUCAGGAGGAACACCGGUGGCGAAGGCGGGUCUCUGGGCCGGUACCGACGCUGAGGAGCGAAAGCGUGGGGAGCGAACAGG